AGCAGCAUGGCUCAGUGGAAAGAGCCUGGGCUUUGGAGUCAGAGGUCAUGGGUUCGAAUCCCGGUUCUGCCA
rnacentral:tRNA from 1 species